rnacentral:rRNA from 1 species
UACGUAGGUGGCAAGCGUUGUCCGGAUUUACUGGGCGUAAAGCGCGCGCAGGCGGACUGAUCAGUCUGGGGUGAAAUCUCCCGGCUCAACUGGGAGCGGUCCCUGGAUACUGUCAGUCUUGAGAGACCUAGAGGAGAGCGGAAUUCCCGGUGUAGUGGUGGAAUGCGUAGAUAUCGGAAGGAACAUCAGUGGCGAAAGCGACUUCCUGGACCAAUACUGACGCUCAUGUGUGAAAGCGUGGGGAGCAAACAGG